rnacentral:misc_RNA from 1 species
AAAGAAUCUGACAGUGGACAACUCGACCUCUGCUUCUGCAAACACAUCAACUGAAAGUGGCCCCAGCAAUACAGAGGAAAGUGAUGAAAAGUUGAACCCAGACAUUGUUAAUAGUAACACCUCUGAUUCUGGUGCAAAUGAUUCUAGCACCAUAAGUCCCGUUACAGAGAAGAAGCUGAAGAAACGGACUUUCCGAGUUCCACUUAAGAUUGAUGAGAAGACUGCUGGGCCAGGAGCACCUCUUUCAAAAGAGUCUUUUAGUGAAGCUAAAAGCAAAUUGGAAGCACUGGACAAAAAAGAUGAAGAAAGAAGAAGAACAGCUGAAUUGAAGAAUAGCUUGGAAGGAUACAUAUAUGAUACGAGAGACAAGCUUGAAUCUGGAGAUUUUGUGACAAUAUCAACCAGUCAAGAGCGCCAGUCCUUUAUUCAGAAACUUGAUGAGGUACAAGAAUGGUUGUACACAGAUGGUGAAGAUGCUUCUGCCAAGCAGUUUCAAGAACAUUUAGAUAAGUUGAAAGCUAUUGGGGAUCCCAUAUUUUUCAGACAUAAAGAACUUACUGCACGCCCUGCUUCAUCUGAUCAUGCUCGCAAAUACCUUAAUGAAGUGCAACAGAUUGUGCGUGGAUGGGAAACCAACAAAUCGUGGCUUCCUAAGGGAAAAAUAGAUGAGGUUCUAAAUGAAUCUGAGAAAGUGAAGAAUUGGUUAAAUCAGAAGGAGGCUGAACAGAAAAACACUCCUGGAUCCGACAAGCCUGCAUUUACUUCUGAAGAAGUAUAUGUAAAGGUUUUUGAUCUUCAAGACAAGGUUAACAAGGUAAAUAAAAUACCAAAGCCAAAGCCUAAGGUUGAGAAGCCUUUGAAAAAUGAAACUGAAAACAGCAAGGAGAAAGCAGACACUACCAAAUCCUCUUCUGAGGAGGGUACCUCCCAGAAAGAACAAACAGCUUCAGAGGCAGAGAAGCCAUCUGCAGAUGAAAACUCGGAUCAUGAUGAGUUAUGAUUAUUAUCCUACAACGAUACAUUGAAGGCUAGAUAUAUGCAAAUUGCCAAGAGGAAGAGACGGAAACUUAAUUUGUAGAGUAUAUACUGAGUGAAACCAUAGGAUGCUUUUUCUUGCCAUGCUUUGGAAGUCCUCACUCUCCGGGCUGUCUCGGGUUCAAAUAGUACAUGCUAUGGGUUGUUACACUUGAUCAGCAUUCUCUGUAGCACUAAAUUAAUGUAGAACAUUGAGAACAUAUUCAUGCGCCAUUUUGGCUGCAGAAUAGAAUUUUGUUAGCUUUGAAUACACUCCUGCCCUUAGAUUACACAUUUCUAAUUUCUGUGAAUCUAUACAGGCAACAAUGUUACUGACUUACUGAGCUUCCCUUUGGUUGCCCCUUGUACGAAAUCUCUCGUGUUAAAG